GUACCAAGGUUUCCGUAGGUGAACCUGCGGAAGGAUCAUUA
rnacentral:rRNA from 1 species